rnacentral:rRNA from 1 species
GUUGAACGCUAGCUACAGGCUUAACACAUGCAAGUCGAGGGCCCGGCACACGUGUGAGUAAUCCGUAUCCCUCCUGCCCUUUACUCGGGGAUAGCCUUUCGCAAGAAAGAAUAAUACCCGAUGUAAAGUAUGGGGAUGCGUUGCAUUAGGUUGUUGGUAAGGUGACGGCGCACCAAGCCUUCGAUGGAUAGGGGUUCUGAGAGGAAGGUCCCCCAGAAUGGAACUGAGACACGGUCCAAACGCGUACGGGAGGCAGGAGUAAGGAGUAUUGGUCAAUGGGGGGUGGCGUGAACCAGCCAAGUAGCGUGAAGGAGGAAGGGUUAUGGGUCGUAAACUUCUGUGAUGUAAGAAUAGGUAUUAGAAGAAGAAGGAUCGGCUAACUCCGUGCCAGCAGCCGCGGUAAUUC